AAUUAGACAUUUACUCAACAGUGCCACGGAUCCUUUCAAUCGGCAGCCGCUUAGCGAAGAUAUGCUCGUGCCAAUGCCCGAUUUGAAAGAAAGAAUAUCAAUAUGGAAACAACAAAAGAAACAGUGCUAAGGUGACAAGAAUUAUGCACAUAAAAAUAAGAAUAUAGGGAAGGAAAGAAAAAGGAAGAAAAAGAUAAACAUUAUAAAUGCUUAUAUAUAUACGUAUGUAUGUAUGUAUCUAUGUAAAAUAAUGUAACACAAUAAACAUACAGCAAUAUAUUAUGAAUAAUAAAA